rnacentral:rRNA from 1 species
GACGAACGCUGGCGGCGUGCCUAAUACAUGCAAGUAGAACGCACAGUUUAUACCGUAGCUUGCUACACCAUAGACUGUGAGUUGCGAACGGGUGAGUAACGCGUAGGUAACCUGCCUGGUAGCGGGGGAUAACUAUUGGAAACGAUAGCUAAUACCGCAUAAUAUUAAUUAUUGCAUGAUAAUCGAUUGAAAGAUGCAACUGCAUCACUACCAGAUGGACCUGCGUUGUAUUAGCUAGUAGGUGAGGUAACGGCUCACCUAGGCGAGGAUACAUAGCCGACCUGAGAGGGUGAUCGGCCACACUGGGACUGAGACACGGCCCAGACUCCUACGGGAGGCAGCAGUAGGGAAUCUUCGGCAAUGGACGAAAGUCUGACCGAGCAACGCCGCGUGAGUGAAGAAGGUUUUCGGAUCGUAAAGCUCUGUUGUAAGAGAAGAACGGGUGUGAGAGUGGAAAGUUCACACUGUGACGGUAUCUUACCAGAAAGGGACGGCUAACUACGUG